GGCGACGUAGCUCAGAGGUAGAGCAGGGGUCUCAUAAGCCCUGUGUCGUGGGUUCGAAUCCCACCGUCGCCAC
rnacentral:tRNA from 1 species